rnacentral:rRNA from 1 species
UACGUAGGGCGCAAGCGUUAUCCGGAAUUAUUGGGCGUAAAGAGCUCGUAGGCGGUUUGUCGCGUCUGCCGUGAAAGUCCGGGGCUCAACUCCGGAUCUGCGGUGGGUACGGGCAGACUAGAGUGAUGUAGGGGAGACUGGAAUUCCUGGUGUAGCGGUGAAAUGCGCAGAUAUCAGGAGGAACACCCGUAGCGAAGGCGGCACUCUGGGCCGGUACUGACGCUGAGGAGCGAAAGCGUGGGGAGCAAACAGG